CGCCCUUGUUUUACAAAAACAUCGCCUCCUGCAAUAUAAAUAAGUAUAGGAGGUCCAGCCUGCCCAGUGACCACAAGUUUAACGGCCGCGGUAUUUUGACCGUGCAAAGGUAGCGCAAUCACUUGUCUUUUAAAUAAAGACCCGUAUGAAUGGUUAAACGAGGGCUUAACUGUUUCCCAUUUCCAGUCAGUGAAAUUGAUCUACCCGUGCAGAAGCGGGUAUAAAUAUACAAGACGAGAAGACCCUUGGGAGCUUAAGGUACAAAACUCAACCACGUCAAUCAACUCAAUAAAAAGCAACUUUUUACUAAACCUUAUGACAAAUGAGACUAUACCUUCGGUUGGGGCGACCAAGGAGGAAAAGAAAGCCUCCAAGUGGACUGGGUCAACACCCUAAAACUAAGAGAGACAUCUCUAAGCCACAGAACAUCUGACCAUAAAUGAUCCGGUCAAUUAAGACCGAUCAACGAACCAAGUUACCCUAGGGAUAACAGCGCAAUC
rnacentral:rRNA from 1 species